UACGAAGGGACCUAGCGUUGUUCGGAAUCACUGGGCGUAAAGCGCAAGUAGGUGGUUUGGUAAGUUAGAUGUGAAAUCCUUGGUCUUAAGCUAAGAACUGCAUUUAAUACUGUCAAACUAGAGUACAAGAGGGGAUACUAGAAUUUCAAGUGUAGGAGUAAAAUCCGUAGAUAUUUGGAGGAAUACCAGAAGCGAAGGCGUGUAUCUGGCUUGUAACUGACACUGAAUUGCGAAAGCGUGGGGAGCAAACAGG
rnacentral:rRNA from 1 species